CAAUGAUCUGACAACAUAGUUCACCCACCAUCAAAUACAAAGUAGUCUUUCGAAAAUUAUAAUUGUUGUGCCUAUUAAAAUAAAGUGCAUUUUUUCCUUUAGAAACAAAAAUUGAGAAAACAAUUCACCAGUUUAUUAACAUGCAAUCUGUAAACUAUUGUUAGCCGUAGAUGUCAGAAAAAUGUUUCUUACAACAAAAAUAAAAAGCAGCCAGUACGUUACAUUCGUAUAAAAAAAAAAAGGAUCUAGCACAACGAUACAACUAAGGACCAAUUGUCUAACCAUAUUAUUAUAGAAUGGUUCUGCAGUACCCUGUGUCUGCUGCAAGAGGGCGCUGUGCCAAGCACAGAAGAUUGUAAAUACAAUGCAUGCAAUAAAAAAAAAAACACAAAAAUAAUGUGUAGAAAAAUAAUAAAUAAAAUAAUCCACUAUUAUUUGCGCGCACAUAAACACACAUAUAUAAAAGUUUAGCUCUUAUUUUCAUUGUCAAGUGGAAGAUUUUUAAGAAACACCCCAUGUACUUUUUCAACCGGUUAUUAACCAUUUACACGAGAAAUAUAAUUUUGACUUUUCAAUAUUCUUGCUCACAAAAUGAACACAUACAAUCUUUCAUCCAAUUAGUAAUACAAAUUCAUGUCACACCAAUAUGUUUCGGCAUCAGUGGUUCUCAAACGCUUAGCAAGAACCCAAAAAUAAUUCCCCUCGCAAUGGGUCCUUAAUGACUGGAAUAGGUAACAACCCACACGCUAGUUCCCAUGGUAAUGUGAUAAACAUCAUUUAAUAACCAAAAAAAAAAAAGGGGUUAAGAACCAUUAUAUUAUUUUAAAUUGUAGGAAACACUUACGUUUUAACAACACAUUAGUGUUCGUAAAAUGAUGAUGUUUUAAAAAAUAUGUUAAAAAUUUAAAACGACUAGUUUUCCAUAUAUAGUAGAUCACAUAUAAUACGUCAUUUGUGGAGGGACAUAGCCAGAGGAUGAUCUAGUCUAGUAGACAAUCUUGCCUCUUGAGAUUAUGCAUUAUUGACAGUUAGAUCACAACUGUCCAUACUGCAACAAACCCCCCCCCCCCAGAAAAACAGAUUGCAGAAAAAAGGGACAUCACACGUACUGAGUACGAAAAGACACAAAAAGGCAUUUUGACUAUAUUUUAGCUCUUUUGUUAUUCUUUAUUGAAAAUGUAUAUGGAUACACUUAUUGCUUUCUGAAUAAAUUUAGGUCUUGUAAACUGAAGAAGGCUUAGUUACCAAGAGCAACCACUGUAUCCAUCCCCAUCAUGUAAUUACUGCAACUCCCGAUGUUCUGGGUCAGGCAGUGGGGAUUGUGGUCCAGGCAAUUGCUGGAAUUGGACAGGUUAGCAGCUGUUGGUAAAAUCUAGUUUGCGUUAUCUUGUCAUCUAGCAGACAAGCAGUAAUGAGAUGUUAUGCUUGUGCACAAACAUGUCAUUUUUUUUAACUGACACAUUAAUGUUCUCAUAAUAUCUAUUUAUACGAAGACACCCAUUAUCGUACGAUUCUACACGGCUAUAUAUUUUCUGCCGUCAAGUAUAGAGCACACACUUUAUUUGAUUCAGUACACUCAUACAACAAUAGCAUCAUAUCAUAUUAAUUGGAAGAAAUUAUUUAUUAAACCAUGCCACACAUAAUAAUUUUUUUUUUGCGCUGAACUAAAACUCUUGGCAUGGAGCCUGGCGUCUAUUCGAUGCAGCCAAAAAUAUCCAUGGCCCUUGACCAAAACUUAUAAUAUAGGCCAGUCCUUUAUUCUAAACUGUUAUGCUACAUCAAGCAAAUUCAUGUAAUGGAAGACAGCAUUGCCAAGGGCAGAAUAUAGCAUUAAAACAAUUUUUUUUUUUUUUGUGAAGUCAAAUAAAUGAAUUUUAAGAGGUGACUUAUGUAUCAAACAUAGGCUACCUUGUAUCAGCACUUGCAUCAGCCUUAGCCAAUCAAACUUGGAGUCAAAAUAUUUUUUUAAGAAGGUGGGUUAUAAAUUAGGGGUUUAUUUAUUAGACAUGUAAUAUGCAAAAUUUAGGCCAAAUAAUUUAUAUAGAAUUAAGGCCUCCGUUUAAUAUUUUUGGAUGCAUUUUUAAAUUAAUUUUAAUAUUGUGAAUUUGUUUUAAUAUUUUCACAUUUUUGUUAAGUGUAUUAUAUAUAUAAAUAUUUUAAAAGUGUUACCAAAAAUAUGAAAUCAUUUGAAAAGAUUAUCUCCAAUAACAUUCAUUUGAGGACUACAUUUUUUAAUUGCUACAAGGAGGAAAUUUUAUUAUAUUUCAGCAGUUUCGUAAAAAAUUUGUCUUGCCAGCCCAUCCCAUUUGAUCAUUUGAGAAUAUUCCCCUCCACGCAUGUGUCUCUAGCAGAUGUUGCAAAACGAAAAAGUAAUCUCGUUACAGAUGUGUUCGACUUAUGAACAAGCUAUAGACAGAUAUCGAGUGAAAUAUUUUGAAACAUCUCUCAUCUGUGAAAAUGAUUCAGUUCCUAUCUGAUUUUUCUGUAAAUAAUUGCGGUAGACGAGCAAUAGUUAUCAAUGCAUGGUGUGUAUCUCCUACUGGACAUUAACUUAUGUACCUGCCAAAUAUUAUUGCAUGUACCUGCCAAAAUUCUGAAUGUCUGGAGAUGGCUUUGCUUUGGUUGUGUAAGUCAGCUGUGCAAGUGAGGUUGUGCUGGUAGUCAGAAUUCCAAGCAGUGACCAGUCAAUGCUCUGUUCAUGCAUCAAAUCUGUGUACAUGUCACUGCAAAUCUUCUGAUGAACAGGCUGGUAGAUCAGACUGCAGGUACGUGUAAUCUUACUGACAUUAUGGAGACAAGGCUGAAUAUCUAUUGCAAACUUUAAAAACAAAAGAUUUGCAGUUCCCAUUUUAUAGAGAUUUCUUCUCUAAAAGUACAUGCUGUAUUUUAUUACUAGCUCGGGAUUCCAGUAUAUCAAGUUUUUUUUUUUUAAUAUAAUGUUCCAUUAUAUUAUAUGUCUACCACACUAUAUCUUAUGAUCUGGGUCAUCGUAGUAGACAUUUACUAUUAGCCAAAGGCAAGACAACUACCUACAGAAUAUGUUUUCAAAGAGCAAUGAUAACUUCUUCACCACUGGUGACUGACUACCUAGUAAAGUGUAUUUAAAGGGACACUGUAGGCACCCAGACCACUUCAGCUCAUUGAAGUUGUCUGGGUGCAAUGUCCCAUGUCCCUUAACCUUACAGUGGUAAUUAUUGCAGUUUCUGAGAAACUACAAUAAAUACCUCUGAGGGUUAACUCCACCUUUACCAGACUGCCACUAGAAUGAUUUCCUGAAGUGAAACGGCCUUUGGUCCGAUAUCUGACAUCUGAUAUCUAACCCCUUCAGCGACGCGGGAGGAAGGGGCGCAAGGGAGGGGAGCACUAUAGGAUUCUAUAGUGCCAGAAAAACAGCUUUGUUUUCCUGGUACUAGAGAAUCCUUUUAAUAAAUCUGUUUUGCAAAUAUAUUUUAGUUUAUACCCAUCACAAAUGAAAAAAAGUUCACAGAGAUAAUGUUACAAUUGAACAAGGGUUCACCAUGAUAAUGUCGUGUAUAAUUUGGGUCCCUUUCUAUGUGGAUCUCUACUGCAUACAUCUACAUUGAAAAAAAAUAAAAAUAAAUAAAUUUUUUUUAAAAAUGAACCAUCACUUAUAUGGAAAUAAACCAGUGAAUAACACGUUGAAAACCAACAUUUGUGUUAACCUUGAUGCUGUGCUUUUUAAAUUUCUAUUGAAGAUUUAACAAUUGAGAUCAAAUUAAUUUCAAUCCUUAAAGGCUAGUUGGCAUCCACUCCCCUGCUCACUUUAGAGGCAGAAUUUUUUUUACAAUUGCUAAGAGGGAGACAAGAUGGUGGUGGUGUGUAUUUCUUUUUUUAACUUUAGUUUUCAGUUCUCGCACAAAUUUGUUAAAUAUCGAAGUAUUCAUAAGAUUAAAAAUAUUAUGUGAUGGUCCCCUUUUUAUCUCUCUCCAGUGUGGUAAUAAAGCGAUGCCCUUUAGUAUUAGUUGGUCUCUUUUCACAGAAAAUGGAGCAAACGUUCUUAUUCUUUGUUUAACCACUUGCAACAUUAGCAAGCUACGCUUAUCUUUUAUUUACUGUAAGAUCUUCAUGUUGGGUACCAGGAGGUCUUUACACUUGGUCUUUAAAAUGUUAUUAGCAGUUUUUUUUUCUCACCAAAAAAAUAAAUUCUAAUAUACACCCAUUUUAUAUUAUUAGAAGUAGCAGGUUUGCUAAAACACCUCAGCAUACAAAUAAACAAGGAUAUGUACUAAAGGGAGAAUUGCCGUGAAUUCAAAGUGAAUUAAAAAAUGUAGGCUGAUAUAGUUAAAUUAAUCCUGUUUUCAGUUUGUUUAUUAUGUCCUUAAAUUUAAAAUUCACUUUGAAUUCCUGGCACUUCUAACUUAAAGGACCACUAAAGGCACCAAGACCACUUUAGCUCAAUGACGUGGUCUGGGUGCCAGGUCCAUCUAGGAUUAACCCUGCCUGCUGUAAACAUAGCAGGUUCAGAUAAACUGCUAUGUUUACACUGAGGGUUAAUCCAGCCUCUAGUGGCUGUCUCCCUGACAGCCGCUAGAGGCCACUUCCGCGAUUUUCACUGUGAAAAUGUCAGUGAGAAAACGCUGGACGUCCAUAGGAAAGCAUUGAGUAAUGCUUUCAUGUGGGCGGUUUGAAUGCGCGCGCGGCUCUUGACGCGCAUGCGCAUUCAGCGCUGACAUCGGCAGGAGGAGGAGAGUUCCCCAACCAUGAGGGAGCCCGGCGCUGGAGAAAGGUAAGUGUUUUAACUGGCACUAUAGUGGUCCUGCAAGCAAGGAUAAUUGGUUUCUCGGUUUUAUGAGAUUUGCAGGAUUAUUUAAUAAAUUAGCAAUUUAUAUCUAACCUAUAACAUCCAAACGGCAUGAGAACAAGACCCACAUAAAACCUUCUGACAGCAAAGCUAAAAUUCCAGAGAACAAAAUGGCCCCUUUAAAGUAAAUGCUGGGCCAUUUCCAAAAGUUUCCGGCGAUGUAUAGCAGAAACAAGCACAUCUAUUCAUUACAUGGGUGAAUAUGCAUGAUGAAUAGAUUCACAUGAGUGUCUGCAUAGAUGCAAUUAAUAAAGAUCACUGCUAAUUCUGCAAACAAUUUCUAAUUUAAGACAUUUUCCAAUUGACCAAAGAGGUCAUAAAACAUAGAGUAGAAUGGAAAUGUGAUAUGAGAACAUGGUGUAUUUUCUUUCAACCCAGUGUUAUUCCCCCUGGGUUAUGUAACUCUAAGGUGACACUGCUCACAGUGUGAGUAAUGGCGGGUAAGUCCUGCUGAUUGCCUGGAGGACUCAUGAAUCAUAAGGGAAGACAGUCCAGAAUUGCUAUUUACAGGAUAUUUCUGUGCAACCUGGGUGGCUUAGCCACUGGGUUCACUUGAUCGAUUACUGUUUAAAUAGAGACCUUGAAAAAAAUAAUAAUAUAAUCAUAACCUGCAAUAGCUGUCCAUUAACUUUUUCACAGGACAAUAAUGGAUAACAUUUGGCUCUUUUGCUAUUCUUGGCUACUUCUCACAUGAUUCCCAGUCACUCAAAGGGAAGAAAACAUGAAAAAGUGUGAAUAUAAAGCGGCUUAUCAUUUUUUGUUUAGCUGAAAAGUCAUCUUUAACAUUUUUAUGGAGAAUCUUUAUGAAUGCCGAGUUAUAUUACGGUCACAUUUGUAUAUUUUUGUAUUGGUCCUGUAAUGAUAUGAUCUCUGACAUCUAUGAAUAUGGAGACAAUCACAGGGUUAGUGAACAGAUAAAUUAUCUACAGAUAUAAUUCGUGCAGAAUCCGAAGUAAAUUUGGAGAAAUGUAACCUCAAUGAGUGUUGCAGACCAAAUCAAUUUAUUCUUAAACUUUUGCACCUUAAUGGUUUAAACAUAAAUUACUAUUCCAUCACCCUCCAGAAUAGUCAUGGACAAUAAUGGACAUUGCUAGCAAUUCUGAUCCAUGACACUAUAGGAAAUAUAUAUUUUUAGAAAGCAACACAUUUCAAGGUAUUACAUUUGGUGGGUGGCAUUAAAGCAUAUUGCUUGUGAAUGUAUAGAUUAAAUGUAUCUUUUGUCUAGAACAGGCCUGCCCAAACUGUGUCCCCCAUCCCCAGUUGUUGCUCAAUUACAACUCCCAUCAUUCUUUCAAUGAAACAGAUAGCCAUGGAAUCAUUAGAAUUGUAGUUCAGCAACACCUGGGGGGUUGUAGGUUGGACAGCCCUGGUCUAGAAGGAUGGGGACCAUGCAAAGUGGUAUCCCUCAAAAUCUGUGAUAGUUGCAUUCUUGAUC